rnacentral:rRNA from 1 species
CCUCUUCCCAUUCCGAACAGAGAAGUUAAGACCGCCAGCGCCGAUGGUACUGCACACCAGUGUGGGAGAGUAGGUCGUCGCCAUUC